GGCGAGGAGACCGGCUCAGAGGUCGAGCUCGCGCCGUCUCACCCUCUCAGCCGUGUAUGAGGGCACAACGGCAUCGGCUGCCUCGGGAGAGGAGGAUGCGGUGGCGGCGGUCCUUGGUGCGGGACAUCCGCUCGAACUGGCGCGGGGGAGACCGGAUGAGGCAACGGCGGCGAGGCUCGAGAUCUCCGGUCGCCACCAUCUCCGCGCCGGUGGGGCUCGAGAUCCCCCGCCUCAUCCUCUCCUGCCUCUGCUUGGGCGAGGAGGCAACAGAUCGGGAGGCAGCGAGAUGAAGCCUUCGAUCCUUCUUCUAUGGCGCCACCUCGACCUCCCGUUUCUUCCUCCUCCGCGUACGCUCUUUUCUUCUUUGUCUUCACCCUCUCUUUCUCUCCAUCUCAGGCAGCAGCAAGCAUGACGAGGAUGGAGACGAACCAGUGGUGACACACGAGGAGGGCGGCAUACCACGAUGGUGGAUCUAGAGUGCUGGGAAGAGAAUGCCCAUGGUGUGCUUACUGGUCCCAUGGUAUGGUGGCGUUGAGAAAUAUGUAUACUUUCAUUGAGUAUGUCCGCACCAGAGUCCAAGACCACGGGUGAAAGAUCUGACAAAAAAGGGAGAACACCAAGAAGAGUGUGUUCAGGGAUAGAGGACGGCCGAGGAAUCAUCUAGCUUACUGAAGCAAAGGGAUGAUUCCUUGAAAAGUGCAACGGCAGUGCCUUAUGUUCAAGUAUUCCUAGCUACAUCGCUUCAGUUGGUCCAUAUGUUCACUGAAUGGGAAUGUCUCUUCAGAUUAAGGCUGCUAAUGCUUCGCUCUGCUCGCUAUGGAUAUGUCGGCCGGCGCCAGCUUCUUCCUCCCCAUCGGCCAGGUGACCAUGUUUACUCCUCCCUCUUCACCGGCCAGGCCAACUCGCCGGCACCUCUCACCUCACCACCCAGGAGAGAUCCCCUCCCUCAAAGUCGCCGCGUCCUAUGCUCGCCGCCGUCCAUGAGUC